rnacentral:lncRNA from 1 species
AAAAAGUCAUUGCAAUUAAUCUCAAGUUAUUCAAGUCAGUGAACAAAUAAGUACUGACAAUUCGUUGACUGGAGUGGAAGAUGUUAGUGUCUUGAACCAACAUGAAACAAAAAGUUAACUUAGCUGAGAAUGAUGGUAGUUUAAAAAUAAUGCAGCAUUGGCUAGGAUUGUUCCUAGGUCACAAAAACAAUCUUACAAAUAGAGUUUCUGCUGUUGUCACUGGUUUUAGAGAGUACCUUCGCGAAUGAAGAUAAAAAGUCAUUUAUGUUAUUUUUUAAAAGCCAAGACAUAAUGUUGUUAACACUCAUACUAUUUACUAAAAAACUUUAUAAAUAUUGUUACGAUGUUAUAAUUCAAGUUGUUGUAAUUAGUAAUUUUGAUCAUUUCAUUAUUAUACUGUAAAAAAUAUUUUUUAUUUAUAACAUUUAUUUCACAUAUAUUAAAAACAUGAGGAAUAAAUAUUACACUGAGGAAAAUUUUAAGCAAAAUAUAGAAUUUUUAAAUGUUAUUAGAAUAUCAAUAUGUAAUA